UACGGAGGGUGCAAGCGUUAUCCGGAUUCACUGGGUUUAAAGGGUGUGUAGGCGGGCUGUUAAGUCAGUGGUGAAAUCUCCGGGCUCAACCCGGAAACUGCCAUUGAUACUAUCAGUCUUGAAUUUUGUUGAGGUAGGCGGAAUAUAUCAUGUAGCGGUGAAAUGCUUAGAUAUGAUAUAGAACACCGAUUGCGAAGGCAGCUUACUAAGCAAAUAUUGACGCUGAGGCACGAAAGCGUGGGGAUCAAACAGG
rnacentral:rRNA from 1 species